rnacentral:rRNA from 1 species
GAUGAACGCUGGCGGCGUGCCUAAUACAUGCAAGUCGAGCGAACGGACGAGAAGCUUGCUUUUCUGAUGUUAGCGGCGGACGGGUGAGUAACACGUGGAUAACCUACCUAUAAGACUGGGAUAACUUCGGGAAACCGGAGCUAAUACCGGAUAAUAUUUUGAACCGCAUGGUUCAAAAGUGAAAGACGGUCUUGCUGUCACUUAUAGAUGGAUCCGCGCUGCAUUAGCUAGUUGGUAAGGUAACGGCUUACCAAGGCAACGAUGCAUAGCCGACCUGAGAGGGUGAUCGGCCACACUGGAACUGAGACACGGCCCAGACUCCUACGGGAGGCAGCAGUAGGGAAUCUUCCGCAAUGGGCGAAAGCCUGACGGAGCAACGCCGCGUGAGUGAUGAAGGUCUGCGGAUCGUAAAACGCUGUUAUUAGGGAAGAACAUAUGUGUAAGUAACUGUGCACAUCUUGACGGUACCUAAUCAGAAAGCCACGGCUAACUACGU